AUGAAUGAAGGAGCCCUUGAGAAAGGCAUGCUCCACGCUGUCCCUUCUGGGGGUGGGCCUGGCCGGGGGUGGGGGUGGGGGCUCCAAAGCAGGUUCCUGCCGCCUCCCUGCUCCCAUCCUGGAGCAGGGUGGAGGGGAGCCGGCCCGCCCAGUGCCCUUCCUGCCCGCGUCGCCGCGGGCUACCUGGGCGCCCUGUUGGCAGCAGAACAGAGGGCACCCGGAGCGGGUGGCAACUCGCCCCGCCACGGGCUCGCAGCGGCGGGCGAUAGGGCUGGGGGACGCCGAGAUAGACGGGCAGAUAGCGCUCCCCUCGUCCGCCCCCGCCCCCACCUUUCCCACGCCGCGGCCGCCGCCCCCGCCUCCACCCGUCGCCCCUCUCAAGGACUCUGCAGCCCUGGCAGUCGGUCGCGCGAGUCUGACUUAGGAAAGGGCCACAAAGCCCCCUGCCCGACCCCCCGGGGUCUGCGCCCGAGACCCCUCCCUGGGGCUGGGCCAGACGCCGGGCUUGCGAUGCUGCAGGGUCCAGGAGCAGCCGCGUGGGGGCGCCCUCGCACUGCUGUCCUCACCCCGCUGGCCGUCAGAGGCCGAGAAGGGGACAGUAGGAUGGCGGGGGGCGGGGGGGCAGGCUGGGACUUGAGAUUUGGAGGAAUUUUCCCUCCCCCGGAGGAAAGCAGAAGUGGGGGUGGAACGGAGAAGGGGAUAGGCGUCCGGAGCAGCGAGGGUGACCCUGGGACAGGCUUUGUGGGACGGGCAGGACUAGGAGCUGGGGGUCCACAGGGAGGGACCUUCUCCUCGGGAUCCCUAGUGAGGGGCGGGGGUUGGGCAGAGCAUCAUGGUCCCGGCUUCUGGGGGGGAGGUACUGGGAGGUCAGCACACAGCUGCACAUUCACACACCCACUGCUACCCCCACAGGCUGCCAGGCAUGCUCGCUCUCUCUCUCCCUCUGUCUCUCUCUCUCUCUCUCUCUCUCUCACACACACACACACUCCUGCAUCGAUACACAACUCCGAGUGCUGUGCAAUGCAUGGAACCCUCACAUCACACACCCUGCGUACAAGCAGCCCAAACCCUGGCUCCCCAAAAACACCCACUCUGCCCAGGCUGACCCAGAAUGCACAGACUCUGCCCCUGGUGUUACUGCACCCCAGUGACGGGGCCAGCCUGUGUCCCACCCAACCUCGUGGGAGCCCCAGGGCCCCUGCUGCCUUCGGACCAGAUCUGAAACUCGCACACACAGUUUGGCGGUCGAUGAGGUUAUCACCGGACAGCUGGUGCACGCAGCCUCCCCAUCAGCCCCUAAGUGCACACUGA
rnacentral:lncRNA from 1 species